GAAACCGCCACACGUUGCCAAGCAUGGCGGACGGCGUGCGGUGUUCGUGUUCGAAACCGGGCUGACCUUCCCCGUUUAGUGGCGCAGAAUCCUUGUUAGGACGUAGCUGCGUAGAGAACGAACGCAUCGAUGCUCGCUUUAGAUGAUCGGGGGCGAAAAGGACGACCUCGGGAACGUCGAUCAUAUGGUCGCCGGCGCGAUCAGCGGCUUCGUCACGCGUUUCCUGUGCCAGCCCUUCGACGUCGUGAAGAUUCGAUUCCAGCUCCAGCUGGAACCGAUCAAGGCGUCCCACCCGACGGCCAAGUACACGGGAGUAUGGCACGGGACGGUGCGCAUUCUACAGGAGGAAGGCGUCGCCGCAUUCUGGAAGGGGCAUGUGCCCGCUCAGAUGCUCUCCAUCGUCUACGGUGGAGUCCAGUUCUCCUCGUGGGAGUACCUGACGCGGCAGUUUGAGACGGGCCUGGGGUCCGACCGGUGGCAGCAUUGGCACAACAGCGUCAACUUCACUUGCGGCUUCGCAUCGGGCUGCAUCAGCACCGUUGUGGCACAACCUUUCGACGUCAUCCGCACCCGCCUCGUAGCGCAGAUGGAACCCAAGACGUACCGCUCCAUAGGGCAAGCGGUGAGCUGCAUGUGGCGGCAAGAGGGCCCGACGGCCUUCUACCGGGGCCUGCUGCCCACCCUUCUGCAGAUUGGGCCUCUGUCGGGAUUCCAGUUCGCCUUCUACCACUUCUUCGUCAACCUCUGGGAGCUGCUGCUCCACCCAGACAGCCAUGUUACUGGAGUGAGCCAGAGCGUGGCCUGCGGAGCACUUUCUGGCUUUAUGUCCAAGACACUCGUCUACCCUCUGGAUCUCAUCAAAAAGAGGCUGCAAGUGCAGGGCUUCACGGCGCAUGGCAUGCAGUUUGGCCGGUACACUGGCUUUGUUCACUGCGUACGCAGCAUCAUGAUGCAAGAAGGCUUGCAGGGCUACUUCAAGGGCUACUUGCCCAGCGCCCUCAAGUCCAUGGCCACCACUUCGUGCUACUUUGCCUCGUACGAGGCUGCCUGCGAGAUGCUCCGGCUGAGGCACGGAAUUCGCCAAGGAAAGCUUUCAGGGGGUGGUGACGAUUGAGCCUUCCAUAGACCUCUAGAAUACCCGGUUUUUCUUCAUUGUGGUGAAGUAUAGUAACUGUACCUACCACCCUCCUUUGCAUUUUCCAUUCUGCAUAGACCGUGCCAGCACUAAAAUGAGUGUUGUGUAAAUAGACCGCUGGCUUAUUGCAGUUCGAAUUUCACACAAACGUAAGUGUUUCAAAGUGCGUUCAGUUUAAUAAUUAUUUUGUUUGAAUGCGUUAUGUGUUUCAUUCACAGUAAAUCUGAAAUGUGUGCCUUCUGCGGCGCUGCAACUGAAAAAAAAGUGUGAAUUUGCCUCAGCACUAUGACAAUGCCAUCUUUCACACCUAAGGUGCAGCGUAGCUUUCAACAAGAUGGUCAUGAGUAAUAUAGAAUCAUUCUGUCACGAUGUGUGAUCAGUAACUGCACUUAUUCUAUAACCCUCAUAUCUCUUUAUGUAUGGUGAUGAAGUAUCGUUUGUAAACAAUUGAAUUUGUUUGCAUUGUAUGUGAAACCGGGAAUUUGUGAUUGUAGUUGUGUUAUUUUAGCGCUCAUUACUUGUUAUUGUUUUCUAUCGGAGGCCUCAUUACAGUGGCUUCAUUUUGGGACCUCUUUCUAUCUUUACUUCUGUCUAGUGUACUUUCAUCGCACUGGGAAAUUGAAACCCCUCGUUAACAUUUAAAAGUGCAAUAAUUUUUUUUGGCACUGCCACAGACGAUACACGUUUCAACCUUGCUGUAUAUGAAACAGGCAAAUUAUGGUUGUAAAUACCGUACUACUAAACUGAACCCACUGCAGCACGCUACUUGUGAAUGAAUUUUUAGUGAAAUUCAGCUUCCACUUAGCUGUGCAGCUGGCACCUAUAUUUUCACAACACUCAGUAUACUUGUAGCACGUGUGUAAAACUUCGUUCAGGCAUUAUGCAACAUUAGGUCGGGACCCUCUGUUGCUACUUUCGUGUUGACGACCGGUGUGAAAUGUUUUCUAAAACUGCCACUAAGUUACAUUACCGGUAAACGUAAUGGCAGUAUGUUGAUUGUGUUGGGGCGAGUGAUAGUGCUUCUCUUUCCUUGUUGUGAUUGGUUUUUGAAUAUACCUAUAUUUUUUGUGUUGUAUGCAUUUAGAAGGUUCUACAUAGCUGAGAAACUCAAAGCCGUUGAGCCAUUUCCUUGUUCUUUGACUGGGCAUAAGAGAAGCUGCACGCUUCUAUUUGUGUUUAUGUUCCUGCAAGUCACUUGCAUUCAGAGAUCAAGCAGUUGAAACAUGUCUAGAAUGACUCUUUAGCACAUGUUACUCUUAGUUGUUUAGCGUUAGGAAUGCUUAUCCUUUUUUCUGUACUUGAAAAUAUGCAUGACAAAUAUUUAACUGUUGCACUUGCAGACAGUGCAGCUGUUUCUGAACUGCACACCUACGCCUCGUACUUUAAGAAUCAAGUCAAAGUUGCAUGCAACUGUGUAGUUUUUCAUAACAUAGCUGUGACUGUAUAGUGUUCACUCAAAACAUAGACUUCUUGUGCUGUAAUUGACCCUCGACCAUAGAAACUAUGAGCAAUCAAGGAAAAUUUAAUUGUGCUGUAUCUUACUAUAUCCUGUUAAUUGAACAUUGUUUCUUGCAUAUCUGAAGGAUUGGGUUUAUAAUCUUUUCUUUUUUCAACGUCCUUGUCAAAGACUGUGGUGAUAGAUCGAGAAGUGAGGUUAUGUUUGACAUAUUGAUAUGCAUCACACACUGUCACGGUGAUUUGUCUGUCAGUGUUUUGUUUCGAUAUUGUUGCGUAAUACUUAUGUAGACUCCGGAAGUCAGGGUUCACAUCACGGCAUUCUUCAUUUAUUUCUUAAGCACUCCUGUACACUGUCACACUAUGCUAAGCAUGGCUCGUUUGUCCAGCACUUUCCUGUAUUUAAAAUAUGUACGGUCGCACCAGAAUAUGCGGAACUUGGGUAUUUCGAAUUGUCUGUAUGGAACAGUUGUAACAUCCCCGUGGAAAUUGCAUGCAUAAAAUAUAGCACUUUCCUAUGCAAAUAUAAGAAAUGCUCACAACCACUCUUGAUAUAUCAAAUGCUACGCCAGACUACACCCUUGUGAGCACUCUUCUAGUUGUGGUACCGUUAUCACCCCUUCUGUAAUUAAAAAUAUGCAUGCUAACGAAACAAUACCGUAUUCGCAGAUUAUCUCAAACAAGGCAUUGAAUCUGAAGAAUAUGCCAUGACGAAAAAAAAAAAUUAGCAAGGUGCUGACCCCCAAAUCCCAAAUAUAGCUAGUAGCUCAUACCACAUCAUUUACGCUCCAUAAUGACGGAAUUGCUUUUGUAGGCUUUACUGCGACAUAUUCGUGCAAUGCUGUGAAGAGUAUUUAUGGAAAGAACUGCUGUGCAGUGAAGCUUACUACCCGAGGCCUGUAUUUCUUAUCACCAAUAUCCAAAAUACUUUGAGGUUUUAUGCAUCCAAGUUCAACUGCAUUGGUGUAGGCAGUUUCAGUUUCAUUUGUUGUGUUCUAGUUAUAAAUUCCCUUCAUUUUCCUGCUAUCUGAGAAAUAUGGAAGGGAGACUUUAUAUGUGUGCACACGUAACUAGACAACCAAACCAGGCUUUUGCUGCUGUCUUUCUGUAUAUUGGGUAUUGCAGAAAAACUGCACAUUACUGGUAAAGCUAUCAUCUGCAUGCUAGCAAGCUGUGCAUGUCUACAAUACCGUCAGGCCACAUCACGAGGCCUUGAAGUCACUCUGAUCUGUUGUACGUUAGGGCCAUGAAGCAGUUGAGAACAUGAACAUCUUCAGGAAGGCCUACGUGUGUUGCCAAAUUUAAGAUCGUAACGUGGGAGGCACCUGCAGUGCUUUUACGGGACAAUAUAUGUAGGGUACGUACUGGCCAGAAUAUUUAUUUAGGUUUCAUGAAUUUGUCAAUUUCAGUGGGUUGUACUGUCAGAAACUAUUUUUCGGGGUUUUUCGUGGAUGUACUUUGCGUAUCCUGUGAAUCUGAAGUAAAGUCUCUAGUUUGAAUUAUGUACCCAUGGUUGUAACCAGUUGUCAAUCUCGUGGCACUGUAGAAUUGCAUUUUGUUGUGCUCUCCCAUCAUCGCGUGGCAUAGUGGUAAAGAGUUCUUGUGUGUGUGUGUUCAUUGUUUUUCUAUGCAUUUGUUACUGCUUACUUAAGUAUUCACCAUAGCAAUAAAGGUCAGAGCCAUUUGUGUGGCUUUAAGUAGCCGGAGGUGCGGGUGACACCAGAUGAUAGACAAACCUCUUUGUUUGUUUUUUUUGUUAUUUUAAAGGCCGAGAAUAACAGGUUGUUUGCUCCGAUAAAUAAGGACAAAACAGGGAACACACGCUGUUAAUGUUUUCUUUGGGGGGCAAGAGCCUGAAUGAUUGCAGCGAUAAAUGCCGUCGUGUUGCAUAGAGCUAGACGUGUGUGAAAAGCAUCGGAAAUCUUGUUCGUGUUUCACAUGCCAGAGAGGCGUCCAGUCCGUGCAGUUUCUUUUUCUUCUUGACAAGGCUCUGUCACACAUGUACCAAAGAUCUGCUCACAUAUUUCGUGUUAUUCAGUCUCGGUGUGCUUGGCAUAACUGGCCGACUUUUGCCUUUUGCAAGUCUUUAUUCCUUUCUUUUUCUUUUGCAGCACUGACAAUAAGGUUCGCAUGUAGCUUGCGGCUGAGGUAUUUAAAACCCUUACCAUCCCACACAUGUUAACAGGCCAUCCAUUCAGGUGGUAAACACUGCAAAGAGGAAUGCCCCAUGUAAGCAGAAUGCCGAUUGUAAGGAGCGAAUGACGGACCUGGCAAAGGCGACUGAUAUCUCCACUUGCCUCAGAAUAAUGUUUAAAUCGUGUCUUCAAGUGCCCCGUUUCUUUUAGAGCCCUCCUGUCAGUCAACAUUGUUGGUGUGUGCAUGUCUUAACCCGACUCUUGUGCUAUUACCGUACUCAAUUGUGCUGCAAUCUUUUUAUCCAGUCUUAGUGUGUACGCUCAAAUUUCAUAGUACUCGCACAUCAGGCUCAUCUAGGUGACGUUGGAGAAAUACUUCACUCAAGCGAUAGAGCAUACAUGCACUGUUAGCUGGACUAGUGGAUGUAGGUCUAGUGCAGCCACAUUAAACUGUGAUAGCAUGUAUGCAUACAGGUAGCAGCAGACGCUGUACAGGCUAGGCUCUUUGUGUUGUCGAGGUCAGUUUGAGUGACCCUCGUCCAAUACAAGAAGCUUCUAUGUAACCAAAACAUUGUUGUAAUAAAUGCUUGGAGCAAUGUUGUUUGUUUUCAA
rnacentral:misc_RNA from 1 species